UAUACGUAUAAUCGAAGGUUACGAAUUAGAUUACGAACAUCUCGAUUUAUCUAGAAUUUUUGAAACUCUUUAAUUCAUCUAUAUCAGUCGAUAAACACGAACAUCACGAACAUUUACCAUAGUUGUCAUUAGAUAUUAAUAUGCAAAGAAAUAUUUUUCAAUAAAAAAUUUACGUAACGUGGAUUAAUUUCAAAGUAGAAUCUCUGCAAUCAUCUUCUACGCUCGUAAAAAACAUAGUCUCAACGAGAUGAAACCUUUUACCUCUGUUUGCAAUACAACAGCAAUUACGCUUAAUGAAACCUGGUCUCCUACGUUACCCACUUUUUCUCGUAAACACUGCGACACGAACACAGAGAAACUCUCAAUUUUCUGCAGUAAAAAUUCACAACUAUAGUUUAGUAACCCUAAUUGACUCCAUUUCCUCGCACCAUUUUUUUUUUUUUUUUACAGAAAAAAAUGCGAAUACGUCAUCAGCUAGUUUCGUCACGUUCGCGAAGCAGAAUCAUAUCAAAUAUAUCGUGAAUAAAGCUCGAUUAUUUUCUUAAACAAAAAAAUACUGCGAUUUGAAAAAUAUUAAUCACUCACAUACGUAUAGAAUCUAUUAUUAGUUACAUUCAUUAAUGAUAAAUAGAAUUCUAUCAUUUAUCAUACAUUCAUAUUAAGUUAACAAUCCGAACGAUAAAUAAAUAUGUGUCAAUGGAUGUUGAGUAAAAAUCAAUGCAGUUUUUAAGAUAAAUAUUUAUUUACAUAUGUGUGAUAUCUAAUAUGUAUUAUAUAUUUUUAUAUUGUAUUAUAAAAAUAAAUUCGAUAUCAUUUUCAAUUUCAUAUGCUUAUAAUAAUAUCAUACAGUUCAAUAUCAAAUUAUAUCAUUUUGAAGAUAAGCUCUAUGUUUAAUAUAAAAAUUAAAAUUAAAAUUUACAUAUAUUUAAUUCAAAAACGGAAUUUCAAUUUCAACAUUUAAUCUAAAAAUUAUAGAAAAUUCGACAUUUCGAAGUAUAUUAUUUAAAACUCUUUGUAAUAAUAAAAAUUCUUGUUAUCUCUUUAUCUAUCAAUUUCAUCAUUUCCGCGCACAACUUCACAAUUCUUGACCGGCAAGGUUGUUUUGAUAAACGAGAUCGUAGAUUUAUAUUCGUGUUCGAUUUAAUAAUCGAAAAGUCUGCGGAAAAAUUCGAAAAACGGAACACUUAAUCUCCGCUUGCAUAUACGCAUUUAUCUGGUGGCUUACGUAAGGUAUUUGUGUCGUACGAAGAGUCACCUUUGCCGAUCGCAAAACAAAUUGUUAAUCAUCGAAAUACGGCGUAUCUUGGCGUUACGUAAAUGGUUUACGCACGGCAGACACCCGCGUACAUAUAACGGAGACGCCACGUGGCCACUUCUUUUGGCGGUAUUCAAGAAGGACAAAAAAUAUGCCUCGAGACGAUCGAGAAAAUACACGCGAAUACUGUUAGAAAUCUUAGACCACGCUUGAAACGCUAGCCACGCGAUCUACGAUUACGUCACGUUGUCUGCACCGUCACUUGCUUUCGCGCAUUGCGAUCGUUUCAUGACGUGAAGUUUCGUGAAAAUGGUAUAAUGGAAUAAGAAGAAAGAACGAAUAGAUUACUAAAUUUCUUGCGAUUACGACGAAAGAAAUUAUUGUGUUGAAAUUUUGAAAGUGAAUGAGAGAAUGUCCGUCCAACUGAUGGACUUUCGGAGAGGCGAGAUUGCAACACUUGGCAAAAAUGUGGCUAGAAGUCGCCUCGCUGGACGGCUAUGUUUGGAACUGUUACAUAAAGUCUCCUCCGCCGACCGAUCUAUCAUGAGGAGACCUUAUUAGAUCAAGCAUGGAAAGCCAUCCGCCUGUAAAAUCGUUGCCAGCUAGAUAAACUUCGCGAUUGUUGAAUCAAUAUCGCGAUUUUGCGUAACUCAUACUAAUAAUUAUACGGAUGUUGUUCUAUUUCGUUCGAUAAAUGAUACAAAUGUAUUAUACAGGUAUAUUAAAAAAAAUAAUAAUAAAUAUGCACAAGCAAACAAA